AUUGAACGCUGGCGGCAGGCCUAACACAUGCAAGUCGAGCGAGCGGCGGACGGGUGAGUAAUGUAUGGGGACUGCCCGAUAGCGGGGGAUAACUACUGGAAACGGUGGCUAAUACCGCAUACUAUCGGAUAACCCAUAUGGGAUUAGCUAGUGGGGGGGGUAAAGGCUCACCAAGGCGACGAUCUCUAGCUGGUCUGAGAGGAUGAUCAGCCACACUGGGACUGAGACACGGCCCAGACUCCUACGGAGGCAGCAGUGGGGAAUAUGGGACAAUGGGGGCAAGCCUGAUGCAGCCAUGCCGCGUGUAUGAAGAAGGCCUUAGGGUUGUAAAGUACUUUCGGCGGUGAGGCGUUACCCGCAGAAUAAGCACCGGCUAACUCCGUGCCAGCAGCCGCGGUAAUAC
rnacentral:rRNA from 1 species